GUAAAAGUCGUAACAAUGUCUCCGUAGGUGAACCUGCGGAGGGAUCAUU
rnacentral:rRNA from 1 species